rnacentral:tRNA from 1 species
UCCCAGGUGGCUCAGUGAUGGGGGAAUUUGCCUGCCAAGCAGGAAACAUGGGUUCAAUCCCUGGUUUGGGAA